AUAUAGAGUACUGUACACACUACAAUUACUGAGGUUUAAAUAUAUAGAGUACUGUACACACUACAAUUACUGAGGUUUAAAUAUAUAGAGUACUGUACACACUACAAUUACUGAGGUUUAAAUAUAUAGAGUACUGUACACACUACAAUUACUGAGGUUUAAAUAUAUAGAGUACUGUACACACUACAAUUACUGAGGUUUAAAUAUAUAGAGUACUGUACACACUACAAUUACUGAGGUUUACAAAUAAGCUCAACUGGACACCUUAAUGACACCUAACCUGUUCUACUAACACACUGAAGCCUCAGUCCCC